AGGAUGGUAUUCCUGCUGGAAACUGUACCUGUUUAGAGCAGCCUAAAAAAGACAACCAAAUCCGCUUGGAGCCUGGAUGGACCGAGACGGGACG
rfam:Desulfotomaculum sp. 46_80 MPI_scaffold_127, whole genome shotgun sequence.